rnacentral:tRNA from 1 species
GGCGGAAUAGCUCAGUUGGUUAGAGCACCGGAAUCAUAAUCCGGGUGUCCGGGGUUCGAGUCCCUGUUCCGCCACAA